rnacentral:rRNA from 1 species
UACGUAGGGUGCGAGCGUUAAUCGGAAUUACUGGGCGUAAAGCGUGCGCAGGCGGUUUUGUAAGCCGGAUGUGAAAUCCCCGGGCUUAACCUGGGAAUGGCAUUCGGGACUGCAAGGCUGGAGUGCGGCAGAGGAGACUGGAAUUCCUGGUGUAGCAGUGAAAUGCGUAGAUAUCAGGAGGAACACCGAUGGCGAAGGCCAGGUCUCUG